rnacentral:rRNA from 1 species
UACGGGGGGAGCAAGCGUUGUUCGGAUUUACUGGGCGUAAAGGGCGCGUAGGCGGCCAGCACAAGUCAGUUGUGAAAUCUCCGAGCUUAACUCGGAAAGGUCAACUGAUACUGUGCGGCUAGAGUCCGGAAGAGGCGAGUGGAAUUCCUGGUGUAGCGGUGAAAUGCGCAGAUAUCAGGAGGAACACCCGUGGCGAAAGCGGCUCUCUGGGACGGUACUGACGCUGAGACGCGAAAGCGUGGGGAGCGAACAGG